AGUGGGAGUUGGCACCCAGACCACUCCAAUGGGCAGAAGUGGUCUAGGUGCCUGGAUAUUUACUUUAAAUAAAAUACCAUUUGUAUG